rnacentral:rRNA from 1 species
GACGAACGCUGGCGGCGUGCUUAACACAUGCAAGUCGAACGGAAAGGCCCUGCUUUUGUGGGGUGCUCGAGUGGCGAACGGGUGAGUAACACGUGAGUAACCUGCCCUUGACUUUGGGAUAACUUCAGGAAACUGGGGCUAAUACCGGAUAGGAGCUCCUGCUGCAUGGUGGGGGUUGGAAAGUUUCGGCGGUUGGGGAUGGACUCGCGGCUUAUCAGCUUGUUGGUGGGGUAGUGGCUUACCAAGGCUUUGACGGGUAGCCGGCCUGAGAGGGUGACCGGCCACCUUGGGACUGAGAUACGGCCCAGACUCCUACGGGAGGCAGCAGUGGGGAAUCUUGCACAAUGGGCGGAAGCCUGAUGCAGCAACGCCGCGUGCGGGAUGACGGCCUUCGGGUUGUAAACCGCUUUCGCCUGUGACGAAGCGUGAGUGACGGUAAUGGGUAAAGAAGCACCGGCUAACUACGUG